rnacentral:rRNA from 1 species
CGGCAGCACGGAGAGCUUGCUCUCUGGUGGCGAGUGGCGAACGGGUGAGUAAUAUAUCGGAACGUGUCCAAUAAUGGGGGAUAACGAGUCGAAAGAUUCGCUAAUACCGCAUACGCCCUACGGGGGAAAGCAGGGGAUCGUAAGACCUUGCGUUAAUGGAGCGGCCGAUAUCUGAUUAGCUUGUUGGUGAGGUAAAGGCUCACCAAGGCGACGAUCAGUAGCUGGUUUGAGAGAACGACCAGCCACACUGGAACUGAGACACGGUCCAGACUCCUACGGGAGGCAGCAGUGGGGAAUUUUGGACAAUGGGGGCAACCCUGAUCCAGCCAUUCCGCGUGAGUGAAGAAGGCCUUCGGGUUGUAAAGCUCUUUCGCAAGGGAAGAAAACUUAUGAUCGAAUAAAUCAUGAGGUUGACGGUACCUUGAUAA